GAUGAACGCUGGCGGCGUGCCUAAUACAUGCAAGUCGAGCGAACAGACGAGGAGCUUGCUCCUCUGACGUUAGCGGCGGACGGGUGAGUAACACGUGGAUAACCUACCUAUAAGACUGGGAUAACUUCGGGAAACCGGAGCUAAUACCGGAUAAUAUAUUGAACCGCAUGGUUCAAUAGUGAAAGACGGUUUUGCUGUCACUUAUAGAUGGAUCCGCGCCGCAUUAGCUAGUUGGUAAGGUAACGGCUUACCAAGGCAACGAUGCGUAGCCGACCUGAGAGGGUGAUCGGCCACACUGGAACUGAGACACGGUCCAGACUCCAACGGGAGGCAGCAGUAGGGAAUCUUCCGCGAUGGGCGAAAGCCUGACGGAGCAACGCCGCGUGAGUGAUGAAGGUCUUCGGAUCGUAAAACUCUGUUAUUAGGGAAGAACAAAUGUGUAAGUAACUAUGCACGUCUUGACGGUACCUAAUCAGAAAGCCACGGCUAACUACG
rnacentral:rRNA from 1 species